rfam:Burkholderia sp. TSV85 TSV85_39, whole genome shotgun sequence.
UCGCCCACAAUGCCUCUCACGGUUUCAACACGGAUGCGGUCUCCGGUGCGGCGUGUGAGCGGACAUCAAGCACGAAAGAGCCCGUCGGUUUUUUACCGAAUCCCUUCUUAGGGGCAUCCUUGUUGAAGUCGUCGUCGGUGCCGGAGCAUCGAUGCCCUUCACCUUUGGUCUCCUCGCGCUAACCCCGUAGCGUGUGGUUUUUAGCGGGCUCAUGAGCCCGCUUUUUUUC